rfam:Arabis alpina cultivar Pajares chromosome 3, whole genome shotgun sequence.
AUCCCAUGGUGAGGACAACUUCUGGUGUAUCCUUUUAGACGCUCCUAAGCUUCACUUAGGGAU